CUGGAGUUCUUCUCCUGGUUGCAGAGACUCUGCUCAGCAAGAACAUUCUCCUCCUGGACAUGUUGCUGCAGAAGGUCUGGAGGGCAAAAUGACAAAAGUAAAAGCUUGUUAAAGUCUGACUGGAUGUGACACCACAUCAGCAUUUGCAGGCAGAGGAAAGAAAACAGCAUGGGAUAUUUGGACAGUAUUUCCUGAGAUAUCAUCUGUCUUCACCAGGCUAUCAACGUAUACAGCAGACAUCAGUGGAGAUACAGUUGCCCAGCUUGAACGAUUUGUUGUGCUGCUCUAUGCAAAGACAUCUGAGGCAUUCAGUGUCUCUUUGCUCAAGGGUCUCGAGACUUGGAGAAUAUUCCUCCCACCCAGGGAGCACUAAAACAGCACAUCAAGAGAGCAGUGUAUCAAGCUGCUUAUGUUUGGGGUCAGACGUUAGUAGCUCAACAAGAACUCCCAUCACCUGCUGACUGGGGUUGGGAGGAGACCAAACAAGGAUGGAUCCCAAAGUGGACAGAUCUGCCAGAAGCUAGUAAAGCAUGCUAUGAACUUAUCCAUUGUGGAUGUAAAAAAGCCUGCAGGGGACUAUGCAAAUGUCUGCGAGCUAAUCUCAAGUGCACUGCUCUCUGUGCUUGCUCUGGCAGCUGCAGCAGACAGGAACUCUGAACAUGCUUUAUGAAUCUGACUCAAACCAACUACACACAGUGUCAAGUAUCAAACUAAAAAAAAAGCAUGUUAUUCAGUCAUAAACAGAUCUAUUCAGUUGUAAGUAGUUUUUUUUCCAAGUAUAGACAUUGAAAGAAUGCGAUACAAGGCAUUAGAGCUCUUAAACUGUGUUUAUACUGUUUUGCCAAUUCUUUGUAUGUCAUUAUUGUUCUUGCCAUCUUAAACUGUAAGUGUUUAACUGUUUUGCAAAUAAUACUGUAUUGUUUAUGUUAUUAUGGUUCUUACCAUUGCACUGAAAAAAAUACAUGCUUUAACAUUUA